rnacentral:rRNA from 1 species
CUUUAGUGGCGAACGGGUGAGUAACGCGUAAGCAAUCUGCCCCUAAGACGAGGAUAACAGUUGGAAACGACUGCUAAGACUGGAUAGGAGACAAGAAGGCAUCUUCUUAUUUUUAAAAGACCUAGCAAUAGGUAUGCUUAGGGAGGAGCUUGCGUCACAUUAGUUAGUUGGUGGGGUAAAGGCCUACCAAGACUAUGAUGUGUAGCCGGGCUGAGAGGUUGAACGGCCACAUUGGGACUGAGACACGGCCCAAACUCCUACGGGAGGCAGCAGUAGGGAAUUUUCGGCAAUGGAGGAAACUCUGACCGAGCAACGCCGCGUGAACGAUGAAGUAUUUCGGUAUGUAAAGUUCUUUUAUUAGGGAAGAAUAAAUGAUGGAAAAAUCAUUCUGACUGUACCUAAUGAAUAAGCCCCGGCUAACUAUGUGCCAGCAGCCGCGGUAAUACAUAGGGGGCAAGCGUUAUCCGGAAUUAUUGGGCGUAAAGGGUGCGUAGGCGGUUAAAUAAGUUUAUGGUCUAAGUGCAAUGCUCAACAUUGUGAUGCUAUAAAAACUGUUUAGCUAGAGUAAGAUAGAGGCAAGUGGAAUUCCAUGUGUAGUGGUAAAAUGCGUAAAUAUAUGGAGGAACACCAGUAGCGAAGGCGGCUUGCUGGGUCUUUACUGACGCUGAGGCACGAAAGCGUGGGGAGCAAACAGGAUUAGAUACCCUGGUAGUCCACGCCGUAAACGAUGAGUACUAAACGUUGGGUAAAACCAGUGUUGAAGUUAACACAUUAAGUACUCCGCCUGAGUAGUACGUACGCAAGUAUGAAACUUAAAGGAAUUGACGGGACUCCGCACAAGCGGUGGAUCAUGUUGUUUAAUUCGAAGGUACCCGAAAAACCUCACCAGGUCUUGACAUGCUUCUGCAAAGUUGUAGAAAUACAGUGGAGGUUAUCAGUUGCACAGGUGGUGCAUGGUUGUCGUCAGCUCGUGUCGUGAGAUGUUGGGUUAAGUCCCGCAACGAGCGCAACCCUUAUUGUUAGUUACCAGCACGUAAUGGUGGGGACUUUAGCAAGACUGCCAGUGAUAAAUUGGAGGAAGGUGGGGACGACGUCAAAUCAUCAUGCCCCUUAUGACCUGGGCUACAAACGUGAUACAAUGGCUGUUACAAAGGGUAGCUGAAACGCAAGUUUUUGGCGAAUCUCAAAAAAACAGUCUCAGUUCGGAUUGAAGUCUGCAACUCGACUUCAUGAAGUUGGAAUCGCUAGUAAUCGCGAAUCAGCAUGUCGCGGUGAAUACGUUCUCGGGGUUUGUACACACCGCCCGUCAAACCACGAAAGUUGGCAAUACCCAAAGCCGGUGGCCUAACUUUGCAAGAAGAGGGAACCGUCUAAGGUAGGGUCGAUGAUUGGGGUUAAGUCGUAACAAGGUAUCCCUACCGGAAGGUGGGGAUGGAUCACCUCCUUU